AGCAGCCGCGGUAAUUCCAGCUCCAAUAGCGUAUAUUAAAGUUGUUGCAGUUAAAAAGCUCGUAGUUGAAUUUCGGGGUCAAUACGUCGGUCGUGCCUCUGGUAUGUACUGGUGUUAUUGAUUCCUCCUUUCUGAUGAACCAUGAUGUCAUUAAUUUGGUGUUGUGGGGAGUCAGGACUGUUACUUUGAAAAAAUUAGAGUGUUUAAAGCAGGCUCACGCUUGAAUACAUUAGCAUGGAAUAAUGAAAUAGGACGUUCGAACCUAUUUUGUUGGUUUCUAGGAUCAACGUAAUGAUUAAUAGGGAUAGUUGGGGGCAUUAGUAUUCAAUUGUCAGAGGUGAAAUUCUUGGAUUUAUUGAAGACUAACUACUGCGAAAGCAUUUGCCAAGGAUGUUUUCAUUAAUCAAGAACGAAAGUUAGGGGAUCGAAGACGAUCAGAUACCGUCGUAGUCUUAACCAUAAACUAUGCCGACUAGGGAUCGGAUGAUGUUAAUUUUUAAUGUACUCAUUCGGCGUCCG
rnacentral:rRNA from 1 species